GAUGAAGAACGCAGCGAAAUGCGAUACGUAGUGUGAAUUGCAGAAUUCAGUGAAUCAUCGAAUCUUUGAACGCACAUUGCACCUCUCGGUAUUCCGGGAGGUAUGCCUGUUCGAGCGUCAUUUGUACCCUCAAGCUCUGCUUGGUGUUGGGUGUUUGUUCCGCCUCUGUGUGUGAACUCGCCUCAAAACAAUUGGCAGCCGGCGUACUUGUUUCGGAGCGCAGCACAUUUUGCGAUCCAGAUCAACGUACAGCGGCAUCCAAGAAGCCUUAUUUAACGCUCUUGACCUCGGAUCAGGUAGGGAUACCCGCUGAACUUAAGCAUAUCAAUAAGCGGAGGGA
rnacentral:misc_RNA from 1 species